CAGAUCUUUAUACUUUCAGGGAUCAAUUCUAUAGUAGGUUACUAGAGAAAUGUUUCUGAACAGAGUAGGGGGAGAAAUCUCAAUGAAAAGCUGCAGUAGCUCUCCUGAGCAUGAAGCUGGCAGGUGGUGCCACCUGGUGGUAGCCACUGCUUGCUGUCGAUGACCGUUCUUUGCUCCUUGGACAAGGAUAAGAGAGAGAGAGAACACAAGCUGCGGGUU
ensembl:snoRNA U3 Small nucleolar RNA U3